AAGAGUUUAGUUUAUUUAAAAUGUUGGACUGUAAAUCCAAAGAAUUUAAUUCUUG
rnacentral:tRNA from 1 species